UACAGAGGGGGCAAGCGUUGUUCGGAAUUACUGGGCGUAAAAGGCGCGUAGGCGGCCUUCUAAGUCGAACGUGAAAUCCCUGGGCUCAACCCAGGAACUGCGUCCGAUACUGGAAGGCUUGAAUCCGGGAGAGGGAUGCGGAAUUCCAGGUGUAGCGGUGAAAUGCGUAGAUAUCUGGAGGAACACCGGUGGCGAAGGCGGCAUCCUGGACCGAGACUGACGCUGAGGAGCGAAAGCCAGGGGAGCAAACGGG
rnacentral:rRNA from 1 species